GCCUGGGUGGCUCAGUCGGUUAAGCGUCUGACUUCAGCUCAGUUAAUGAUGUCACGGUUCAUGGGUUCGAGCCCCGUGUUAGGCU
rnacentral:tRNA from 1 species